UGAAGCAGGUUGACAAUAAUUUAAAUUCUUUGUCAAAAGCAUCACAAUAAACUCUCAGCAAUUUAGCAGUCAUAUCUAUACAUGAAUUAGCCCCUUUGUGGAUUAUUCACAGAGGAUACAAUAAGCUUUAUGUUCUACUGACUUAGUAGUUUACAUAUAGCCUCUGCAGGAUUUUAGAACAUUUCUCUCUUUUCCUCCUAGAGUCAGACAUUGCAUAAAACCAUGGAAGCCAAAACACAUCAUUACCUUCCAAUAUGCUCCUUAAGGAUGAUGUGAGUCAGACCAUGGAUGAGCUUAGAAAGAGAUAAGAAUUAGCAAUGAUAUUGGCUUCAGAAAGGAGUUAUUGUAUAGAAAGAAUGCCCAAACGAUGAAGAAAGAACAGAUUUACUCACUCUUAUUAAGGCAAGUAGCAUAUUUACAAUGAAUUAACAGAAUAAAUACAUACUCAUUUAAA